UACGGGGGGGAGCAAGCGUUGUUCGGAUUUACUGGGCGUAAAGGGCGCGAGUAGGCGGCCUUCUAAGUCAGACGUGAAAUCCCCCGGCUUAACCUGGGCAACUGCGUCUGAUACUGGGAGGCUUGAGUAUGGGAGAGGGAUGUAGAAUUCCAGGUGUAGCGGUGAAAUGCGUAGAUAUCUGGAGGAAUACCGGUGGCGAAGGCGGCAUCCUGGACCAUUACUGACGCUGAGGCGCGAAAGCUAGGGGAGCAAACGGG
rnacentral:rRNA from 1 species